rnacentral:rRNA from 1 species
GACGAACGCUGGCGGCGUGCUUAACACAUGCAAGUCGAACGGAAAGGCCCUGCUUUUGUGGGGUGCUCGAGUGGCGAACGGGUGAGUAACACGUGAGUAACCUGCCCUUGACUUUGGGAUAACUUCAGGAAACUGGGGCUAAUACCGGCUAGGAGCUCCUGCUGCAUGGUGGGGGUUGGAAAGUUUCGGCGGGUGGGGAUGGACUCGCGGCUUAUCAGCUUGUUGGUGGGGUAGUGGCUUACCAAGGCUUUGACGGGUAGGCGGCCUGAGAGGGUGACCGGGCACAUUGGGACUGAGAUACGGCGCAGACUCGUACGGGAGGCAGCAGGGGGAAAUAUUGCACAGUGGGCGGAAGCGUGAUGCAGCAACGCCGGGUGCGGGAUGACGGCCUACGGGGUGUAAACCGCUGUCGCCUGUGACGAAGCGUGAGUGACGGUAAUGGGUAAAGAAGCACCGGCUAACUACGUG